GGCUCUCUGGAGUAUACGUCUAUAUCAAAGCAAGAAAAUUACCUUAAAAAUCAUCUAUAUUCCAAUAUAUAACAGCAUCCGUAUUGACAUUUUCAAAUAUGUCCAAAUGCAAAAUUUCCAAAUGACCAUAAAACUAAAAAAUGAAAAAUAAAAUUGCAAAGAAAACCGAAACAAUUAAAUCACUACUUACCGGAAGUGCCUUCUCCCAACCUGCAGGUAAUUCACCAUUGAUGAGAGACUUCAAUACUGCAGCUUCUUCUUUAUACUUGCGUUCGUAUUCAGCAAACUGGGCAUUCCAUUCAGCUUCCAGAGCUGCACCUUCAGGGACAUGGCGGCUCCAAUGCCUAAGGAACAAAAGCAAACCAAUUCAUCAAGCAAUCAUCCAUAAGCUCAAUCCAAGAAGUGAAGCAAGAAAAUUUAUGUCUUUUGUUAAUGCCCUUACUUCUUGACAUCCUCGGGUACAUGGAAAGGCUCAUAUGGCCAUCGAAGGUUCUUCCUUGUGGCAUCCAACUCCUUAGGACCUAGUGCACUUCCAUGUACACUGUAUGAGUUUGACUUGUUUGGGGAUCCAUAACCAAUGGUUGUAGUCACCUGUUAAAGGUAAUAUAAAAGUUAGCAAAAGGAUAGCACUGGUUUGGAAGAGAACAAACCCAAUAAUUUAAUAUUGUGUCUAAAAACAACUUGAAUGAAGAAUCAUAUCUCUUCUUAUAAAGAGACUAUAUUGUUCCAAGUCUUUACUUUAAAAGUUAACCCUCCUUAAUGUUGCUUUCCAGAAACGUAAUGUUACGCGUAUGUAAAAAUUGUUAGACCUUGAUUAAAGUGGGUUUGUCUUUGACAGUCUUUGCUUCCUUGAUGGCAGCACGAAUCUCAUCAUAGCCAGUAUUUCCAUUCUUCACCCAGAUAACAUGCCAACCAAGAGCCUCAAAACGUAAGUCAACAUUCUCCGUGAAAGCAAUCUCAGUGUCACCAUCAAUAGAGAUGUGGUUAUCAUCAUACAAAGCUAUCAGCUUCCCAAGACCCCAAUGUCCAGCAAGUGAACAAGCUUCAUGUGCAACACCCUCCAUUUGACAACCAUCCCCCAGUAUCACGUAUCUAAGGAAAUGCCAAUACCAAUGAGCCAAACAAUAUAAGAGCAUACGUACAUUUCAGAUCUAUCUAAAGAGCACUGAAAAACACAACAACAUUUGAUAAGCUGUUUACGUGUAGUGAUCAACAAUCUCAUUGUCUGGUUUGUUGAAUCGAGCAGCCAAGUGCCUCUCCGCAAGAGCCAAGCCAACAGCAUUGGCAAUACCCUGACCAAGAGGACCUACACAAAGGGAAGGAUGUGCCCAGAUGAACAACAACGCCUCUGUUGUAUGGUUCAGCAAACAAAACAGAUUUAACAUUCAAGACUAGAAUCUAACCAGUAGUGACUUCAACACCAGGUGUCUCAAAAUUUUCUGGGUGACCAGGUGUUGUGCUUCCCCAUUGACGGAAACUUUUCAAGUCUUCUUCCUAUUAAUUCAUCCAAAACACAAAAUUUCAGGAACGAAGACACCUCAAAUGGAUCUCAUAGCAACAAAACUAAGCUCAGAAAAAUAAAUAAAUAAAUAAAUAACCACAUCUAACUCAAAAAUUAAAAUAAGAAGGGAAGAAAACGUCAUUUCCACCACAAACAAUUUGCUUCAUCCCCAUGUAGAGAGAGAACUGUAGUCAGUAUGAAACAAAAAAGGAAAAAAAACUGCUGAAAAUGGGAUCACUUGUACAUCAAUCAAAAGAAAAGUUAAAAAAUUCUACCCCAUUUGCUUUGGUUUCUAAAAAAAGCUACUUUGUUGUCCAUAAAGCAAACAACUACUUAUCUAUCCUUUACCGGUGUUUCCAAAAAAAAAUAUAUAUAUACUAAACAAUAAUAUAUAAAGAAUCCUAGAAUAAAAACCCAGAAGAAUUAUCAACUUUACUUCAGAUUGAUAGAGUGCCCAACAAAUUUUCUGAAGCAUUUUGUUGGAAAAUGCUUUUCAUAAUCUGAUCCAAAAACAAAAUGCAAAUUUUCCCCAUAGGCAAAAAAACAGAGAUCCAUUUUUGAUUCGUACUUUGGCAAAACCACAUAAAGAUCCGAACACAUACAGAGCAAGCUCCCAAAGAAAGUUAAGGAAAUGCACAAACCCUGACACUGUCGUAGCCAGCAAGGUGAAGCAGAGCGUACUGAAGCAUGCAUCCAUGUCCGGCAGAGAGAACAAAGCGAUCACGAUUGAACCAGUAGGGGUUCUUGGGGUUAAACUUCAUGAACUCAUCGUAUAAAACAUGGCCCAUUGGAGCACAACCCAUUGGCAAACCCGGGUGACCCGAGUUCGCCUUCUCCACCGAAUCGACGGCCAGAAACCGGAUGGUGUUCACCGAUUUCUCGAUCAAGGUAGUUUCCGUCUUCUCCAAGGUCUCCACCGAAGCAGCCUGCACCGCCAAUCUCCGGCACAGCCUCCGCCGAGCUGAGCCGAGGCGAGAAGGGCAUGAAGCAGCUGAGGUGGUGGAUUUGAGGCCGGAGAAGGUGGGAAUAGUGAAUGACCGCAGGGGUAGGCGAUCAGAGGAAUUAGUGGAGCCGCGGUGGUUGAGGGCUCCGGCGACAAUGGCUUGAGAAAUGGAGAGAGAAGACGAAGAAGCCAUCGUCGAUUGUACAGAGAGAAACAGAAAGAAGUGAGAGCGAGUUGUGAAGAAGAUCGAAAGGUGCCUCCUCGAGAUUUAUGAGGGUCCAACACACCCAACAACUCCCAGGUCCGCAUCUCAGAAUCUGACCGUUAGAUCAAAAGAAAGAUGCAUCGGAACCGUUGACCGAAAGUAGGCGAUGCAAUCCUUUCAAUUUUUUAAUUCUCAAUCAAUUAAUUCUAUUUCCAUCCUUUUCAAUUUCUUUGGCCUGUCCGUCCCCACACUUUUCAAUCAAUAAUUUAAUCCAUACAAUGAUGACGCCAAAUGUUUUUUUUUUUUCUACCCAAAUUAUAUAUGCAAUGAUUUAACAUUUUACAAUUUUCUUUUCUUUUUUUUUUAAUAAUAUCGAAAAUACCCAAAUAAAAUAAGGCUAAUGUUGUUUGAAUUUUGGAAUGUAUUGGCUGAAAGAGAGGGAUUGAAAGGGUGGGUUGUAAGUUGUAAUAACUAAUAACAGAAAUUCCAGGGAAAUUAUGUUACAUACUCGCUCACCUACCCCGUCAAAAAGGCGAAGUCCCACUUUCAUUUAUGGGUGACCUCUCACUAAUUGCUUUCAAAACAGUCCCUCAUGGUCAGCCAAAAUUGUUUUCAUGCAGCAAAUAAAAACAAAAUAUGACAUUGUCACAUGGGUAUUGCUCUCUCCACAAGAGACGUCAAGACCCAUUCAUUUUUUUUACUUUUGAUAGAAUGAUUUUUUGUGACAUGCUAUAUUGGAUAAGGAAUAAAGUUUUUGACGUUAUAUAAAUAUAGAUUUUUUUUAAUCUUAUAAAUGCUUUUUAAAGUCAUUAGGGCUUUUUUGGGUCCAAAGUAGAUACGAUUGAGAACUAGUUGUUAUAAAUUUUAUCAAAAUCGAUUUUCGACCUCGAUGUGAGGAUCGAGUUUAUCAAACCUAGGGGUGUUCAUCUGUUUGACCCCGUAAUCCUGUGAGACACGUUGUGUCCACAUAAGAGGUAUUUGUAACAUCUCAUAUCGAAUCGCUAUAUAAAUAUAAACUCCUUUUAAUCUUUUAGGUCUAAAACAGACAAUGUUAAAAGCUUAUAUUUUUAUUUUUAUUUUGGUGCAUAUUUAGAUGGAACCCAAAUGGAGUUGGAGGAUUGGAAAAAGCAAAGGUGGUGGGGUGGUGGGUUGGUGGAAGAGAAUGAGACGAGAGUUUGUUGUUGGUGGCAUGGUCAAGGACUCAAAAGGCCAAGCCUUUGAGUUGAAGAUUUGUUCAAAACAAUUGACUCCAAAAGUUAGCUAAAAAAAAUGUUUGGAGGUGUAUCGCUUAUGUCAUUCCAGAAUUUCAACCCUCUCUACUCAUCCCCCAUGUUUUACCCAAUUAAUUAGUUGUUAUAGCGGCCGCCCAUCUGACGUACAUGACUCAUUGUCGUUGUCGUUUAAUAUUAAUAUGAUAAUCUAUCCACCCCAAAAACACAACCUAUUUACUUUUUUAAUGCCAUUUCCCUUGGCUUUUCGUUUUCAACACACACCUCCACCUCAGCAUUGCAGACAACUCCAAAACCAGCCUCACCCAAAUCCUCAGAUUCCAUUCUUCUCCGCCUAAUAUAUACACAUGCAUAAAAAUGAGAUGAGUUCUUAAAUGUCUGCAGCGGAGUUGGAAUCCAGUUAGAAUCGGUUUCACAAUACUUUAAAUAUAAAAAACAAUUUUUUAUUUUUUAUUUUUUAUUUUUUAUGAAAUUUUAAAGAUAUCUUUAAAAAAUUGAAGUAUAAUUUUUUAUUAAAAGAUACUUGAUAUAUAUGAAUCUCUCACAAUCACUUUUAAAAAACACUUCUUCCAAAAAGUAUUUUUAAAAUAAAGUCAGACUUCAGACACAUUUCAUAUGAUUUGAAAGCACUUGCCCAGGGUUUGAAAAUUUUUUAAGGAAUUGCAAAAUUAUGCCAAUUGAAAAGUGUUUCUUUUAAGUCACUUUUUUCUAAUUUGCAUUCAAACGCUAGGACCGUUUGGAAAAGUUUUCUGAAACGGUUUUAAAAAAAUAGUUGUUAAGGAUUGUUUUCAAAAACAAUCCUCAAAAAAUAAUUAUUAAUAAUAGUUGAGAACCCUAGGGAAAAACUAUGUGGUAACGAAUAUGAAAUGUCAUCUCUAAACAAAGAUUGGUUCCACAGGUAAAUUUCCCAAACAUUUGAAAAGGUUCCCAUGAACUUUAGAAGCAAAAGAAAAAAAAAUAAUAAGAGACCAACAGACGGUUCCCUAAGAACACUAUGUUUUCAGAAUCAAAAAACGUGAAAAACAUGUUUGGAGAUCAACUGUUCCCAAAAUGUGUUUUUGAGAAUUAUUUUGAAUAGGAUCUUUUUUGAAAACAUAUUUUAAUUGUUUUUACUAAUUUUCUAUUUUUUUUGUAUUUUUUAAAAAAUGAUUGAAUAUAAAAUAAUAUAUAUAAAAAAAAGUAUUUUUAAGAAAUAUUUGAAAAUACAAAAAAAUUAAUUGAUGACAUUCCAAAUUACCAAAACUUUUAUUCUAUAACUCAAUAAAGGACUGUUUUUGAAAACUAUUUUUUGAAAACUGGUUUUGAAAUUGCUUUUGGUUACUUCAAUCUGGGUAUUAUAAUCUUAUUGUUUCACAAAAGCAUUGGUCACAUCAUCCCAAGAUUUAAAGGUCGAUUUCUCAGUCUAUACAAACAAUCGUCAACCAGCCCCAUUAUGAGUUCUAGGAAAGAUCAACGGCCCCACUAAGAGUUCUAGGAAAGAUUUGGGCCAUUUGCUUCUGAGUGAGCAUCAUAAAACCUACAUUUGAGAAAAACAAUGAUAGAUGAGUCUUAGGACAAUUAGUUCCAACGUAUUUGCCUAUGUUAAGCAUCUUGAACUUUUUUUUCCCAAAAAAUAUUAAGAAAAAAAAUAUUAAGGAAAAUAAUUGUCUUAUAUUUAGUUAUUAUAUAAAAAAUUAUUAAAAAAAAUCAAAUAUAAUUCAAAUUAGUUAAAAAUUUAUGCAUUUUCAAAUUAUUUAAUAUGAGUUAAAAUAAAUUUGAAAUAACAAAUAAAAAUAAUUUAUUAAGUUUUAAUCAAUUUUUUAUUUUCCUUCAUCCUUACUUUUCUAUUCUAUUUUCUUUCCCCUGCAUUUUCUCUCAAUUUUGAAACCAAACACGGCCUAAAAGGAUUUAUCAGGCAUAAGAUUAAGGAAAACCUUGAAAGUUUGCAGACUAGUUAUAAAGCUUGACCUAGCAGUGAGCAUGGCAUUUAACAGAUUUUCUACAACCCUAUGUAUCACCAGAAAGAACACAUGUUUCUCAUAAUUUUUACAGUAGAACAAAAUUUUCUCUUAUUGGUAAUUUUAAAGGGAGGUGUACAAAGACAGCACCAAACAGCAUUCAAUAAUUAGUACAGGCUAUCAUGUUCCAGAAAGACGAGAAGAGAAAUUAUUCAGUACCUGUUGCAGCAUAUAAUUGUGGCAUGGGGAGUUGUUGAACAACAUCAGGCGCCUUUGGUUGCUCUUCAUCUUCAAUUUAUAUAAUGAUAUAGACAAUAAAAGCAUAAUAUCCAUUGUUUUCAGAAUCAAACCGGAGAUUGAACUGGUGAGAUCAUAAAUAUAUAUUUUACUAUUUUAUAUAUUAUUUAAAAUUAAAAAAUUAAUAAAUUCUAUCUAUCAAUAAGUUGGUAACCCAAGCCAUGAGAAAAUGGGUUUCAUCAUGUUCCCAGCCAGUGUGUAUCCAUAACAUCUAUCAAUAAGCUGGUAACCCAAACCAUUAUUUGAUUUCAAGUUAGGGAUUUACCCCAAUUAAUGAUGUCCAGCAAAUAACAGAACAAUCAAAAGGAAAGAAUGAAAGAAAGGGGGGCAGGGAGGUUUCCAACGCCGGUGGGAGUUGUCUAGGUGUUGUAGGCUGCGGCGCGUCGGUGGCGGGUAGAGCGACAGGCCAGCAGCUAGUGCAGGGGGAGGAGGGAGGGUUUGGAGUUGCAGGCUUGUAGUUAUAUACACUCCAAAACGGAGUAGUUUUGAUGCUAUUUUAAAAAAAAAAAAAUUCAAUUGAAUAGGUCAGUUCGUCCGAUUCACCUGUUGGACCGUCGGUUCAAGCAGUCCGACCUCGGUUCAAUCCAAAUCCGGUCCAAUUGACCAGACCAGAUCAGAACUGUGACUGGCUGACGGUCGGACCGAUCCAGUUUUUAAAACAUUGAUAAUAUCUGAGGAUGCUUGGCACAAUAAACAAUGAGACCCAUUCCUUAUAUUAAAAAUUAAAUUCAUAAAUUGUUAAAAUCAUAGAAACUUUUUAAAGGUGCUGUUGAGAGUUCUGUGGAAAUGUAAUGGGGACCAAAAAACAAGUUGAGAGCAUCAUGAUAAUGGAGCUGGCAUAAGGCCCACAGACCAUUAUUUUUGUCAAGAAAGGGAAGAUCAUUUUCUAAGGCCUGGUGAACUGAUAUUUAGAUAUCUAAUCAAUCACAGGUCUUCUACUCUUGUUCAUGACCAUCAUAUUCAGAGAUUAAUUUACAUUUAAGAUAGAAGGAAAAGAGAACAGAUAGACCGACUGAGUAAAAAUAAAAAAUCCACCAGAACUCUAGGGGUUUGGACAACAGCAUGCCUAGUUGAGUAGCCCAAAUGUCAUGCAAUGGUACCAUUAAGGAUAUUCUCAAAGAUUUCAAACAGAAGUGACGAUAAAAAAUGGGAGACCAUCCCAUUGAUUCUUCACCAACAGAAAAUACACCAAUAAAGAUGAAAAAGCUUGGAAGAAACCGGGUAAAACUCAUGUUUCAACAUUUAUCUCAAAACGGCGUAGUUUCAAUUUUCAAGGGCUUGAGCAAUAUAGGUAGCAAGUGAGAGAGACACAUCGUUUUGGUUUGUCCUAUCCUCCAAACUAAGACGAAACUUGUCUGAAUAUUUCUCAUCCUAUCAAAACUUACAUUAUUUUGAUUCUUUUACAUUUUGAAGUAGCAGUCCUUAUCCCUUUACCAGUCACAGAAUAUGGCGCUGAUGCUGACCGAAGAGAGGGUGACUUGUCAAUAUAUGCAUAUCGUUCAUCGCCAUUCCAAUACAAAAUGACCCUGUUUGUGCAGGAGUGUGACCAACUAUCACCUGCACAUCAUGUAAAACUGGAAACUUAAAAAAGCCACAUGACUCAUUGACUAUGUCAUCGAGGACAAAAAAGACAAUGAAAAUAUGGCAGGGAAGAGUCAGUAAAGAUGGAAAAUUACCUAGUGCAAGAGUCAACUGGAAUGAACCUUCUGUAUGCUUAGUGGUCACCUGAUUCAAUAGAACAACCUGAAGGGAGAGAGGGAAGGGGUGCCAGAAAACAUUAAAACAAAGGAACUGUGAAAUGCAAAAUAAAUAAAUAAAAGAGACCAUGAAAUUCAUCACAGGUAACUAGAAGCUGUUGAACUGAAAAUAAAUCAUAGAAACUAGUACAGAAUUAUUCACAAACACAAAGAUACCAAGCUAACAGAGAUGAAAUUUUAAGGGAUAAAAUGAAAAUAGUCAACAUACAAGUCAUUAUUGUUCAAUGGUUUUAUCACAACUACAAAACAUAAUUUCAAGGGGGAACACAAUCAAUAGAUUCUAUCACCAUUCAAUCCCAGAAAAAAGUAACCAAAUUACUAACACAACCCUUAAGAAUCAGAAUGUAAUACAUAAAUUUGACAUAAAAAAAAAUGGCUGCAAACGUGAAUAACAUAGGUAAAACACUCCACAAACUGGAACAAAAUUGCCAACCAUGCCCAACUUCCAUAAACUCUAGCAAGACCAACUGUUUCCAAGAACUUGUUUCAAACAAACCUGCUAACUGGUGUCCAUAUAUCACAAAUGAUUGGAUGACAAACCCUUAAGAAAAUCAAUAGUUACUUUACAGGUCACAAUUGCACCAACUUACACCAGCAUGGAUAAAGUCUGUUUAGAACUCACGAGUUUAAAAUUCUACAAAAAGAUCAAAUAGAUUCUUACCGCCAAACUGAACUUCUUUGCAAGUUUCAUCAAUUUUAAGGCCAUUCCACUAAGUAGUCGAGUCCUGAGGGCUAAGUCAUCAAAAUCUUGGCGGAAGUGGAAAGUAACACUAUCGAUGAUUACAACAUUAACCUGUGAGAACAUUUGGAUAAUGAAAUACUACCACCAUAGUCGAUAUAUCUUUUGAAAUUUUACAAUAUAUGUAGCAAUAACCGAAUGAAUAAGAGAACCAGCUUUCGUUAAUUCAAAAACAAGCCAUUAAAACAUGGUAUAAUGUUUGCAAAGUAUUAUGUUAAAAGAAGCUUUAUUUAUUUUGGGACCAGGACCAUAGAAAAAGAAAGAAUAAUAACAAAACCAUAGCUUUCCAUGUACAAUUUGAGUGUGAAGGUGAGCAAAAUGGAGUUGGGCCUACAACCAAGAAAAGUAGUUGGUAUUUGUGAUGACUGCAUUUCAGGUAUCCAUCCACAAGCUGCGGUUUUCACCACCAAGCAUAAAAAACAAAAGCAGUUGCUGGCCCAUGCAUUUAAAUUUUCAUUGGAGAAAGAAAUAAACCAGGCAAAUAUGAACCAUUGGCGAAGAUGUUAGUUGGUAUAUAAUACAAACCAUCAAAAUAUUAUGGUACCUACAUCUUUAUGCUCUGAGAUGAACUUGUCUAAGUAAUUUAUCAUGGCAAUUUGCUCAGUGUAACUGCAGACGCGGAAAUAGAAUAUGUUUUGUAGGAAAUCCUUGGGCUGCGCUUUAACUUGGCAAGAUUGAAAAUCCUUCUGAAGAAAAUCACUAUUUCCUGACAUGUCCUCUAUACAUGCUUCAGCAAUUUGUAAAGAACGCUCCAACAUAAAGCUGCCUUCCGUGUCUAAGCAUCAACAAGCAUAAUGCUUUAAGCUGAUGAGUGUAAUGGUAGAACAGUGUCA
rnacentral:lncRNA from 1 species